rnacentral:rRNA from 1 species
GAUGAACGCUAGCUACAGGCUUAACACAUGCAAGUCGAGGGGCAGCAUGUCGGUUGCUUGCAACCGAUGAUGGCGACCGGCGCACGGGUGAGUAACACGUAUGCGACCUGCCCCCUACAGGGGUAUAACCCGUAGAAAUGCGGACUAAUCCCCCAUAGUCCUGGGUGCUGCAUGGCAUUCAGGGGAAAGGGUUUCCGGUAGGGGAUGGGCAUGCGGCGCAUUAGCUAGUUGGCGGGGCAACGGCCCACCAAGGCGACGAUGCGUAGGGGUUCUGAGAGGAAGGUCCCCCACAUUGGAACUGAGACACGGUCCAAACUCCUACGGGAGGCAGCAGUGAGGAAUAUUGGUCAAUGGGCGGGAGCCUGAACCAGCCAAGUAGCGUGAGGGAAGACUGCCCUACGGGUUGUAAACCUCUUUUGUCGGGGAACAAAGGCGCCACGCGUGGUGUAUAGAGUGUACCCGAAGAAAAGCAUCGGCUAACUCCGUG